rnacentral:rRNA from 1 species
UACGUAGGGGGCAAGCGUUGUCCGGAUUUAUUGGGCGUAAAACGCGUGUAGGCGGCCAGAUAGGUCUGCUGUGAAAACUCGAGGCUCAACCUCGAGCUGUCGGCGGAAACCAUCUGGCUAGAGUCCGGAAGAGGAGAGUGGAAUUCCUGGUGUAGCGGUGAAAUGCGCAGAUAUCAGGAAGAACACCUAUGGCGAAGGCAGCUCUCUGGGACGGUACUGACGCUGAGACACGAAAGCGUGGGUAGCAAACAGG